rnacentral:rRNA from 1 species
UACGGGGGGGACUAGCGUUGUUCGGAAUUACUGGGCGUAAAGCGCACGUAGGCGGCUUUGUAAGUCAGGGGUGAAAUCCCGGGGCUCAACCUCGGAACUGCCUUUGAUACUGCGAAUCUCGAGUCCGGAAGAGGUGAGUGGAAUUCCUAGUGUAGAGGUGAAAUUCGUAGAUAUUAGGAAGAACACCAGUGGCGAAGGCGGCUCACUGGUCCGGUACUGACGCUGAGGUGCGAAAGCGUGGGGAGCAAACAGG